UGCGUAGGUGGUCGUUUAAGUCCGUUGUGAAAGCCCUGGGCUCAACCUGUGGACUGCAUUGGAAACUGUCAUACUUGAGUGCCGGAGGGGUAAGCGGAAUUCCUAGUGUAGCGGUGAAAUGCGUAGAUAUUAGGGGGAACACCAGUGGCGAAGGCGGCUUACUGGACGGUAACUGACGUUGAGGCUCGAAAGCGUGGGGAGCAACA
rnacentral:rRNA from 1 species